rnacentral:rRNA from 1 species
AACGAACGCUGGCGGCAUGCCUAACACAUGCAAGUCGAACGAGACCUUCGGGUCGAGUGGCGCACGGGUGCGUAACGCGUGGGAAUCUGCCCUUGGGUUCGGGAUAACAGUUGGAAACGACUGCUAAUACCGGAUGAUGUCUUCGGACCAAAGAUUUAUCGCCCAGGGACGAGCCCGCGUCGGAUUAGCUAGUUGGUGAGGUAAAGGCUCACCAAGGCGACGAUCCGUAGCUGGUCUGAGAGGAUGAUCAGCCACACUGGGACUGAGACACGGCACAGACUCCUACGGGAGGCAGCAGUGGGGAAUAUUGGACAAUGGGCGAAAGCCUGAUCCAGCAAUGCCGCGUGAGUGAUGAAGGCCUUAGGGUUGUAAAGCUCUUUUACCCGGGAUGAUAAUGACAGUACCGGGAGAAUAAGCCCCGGCUAACUCCGUGCCAGCCGCCGCAGUAAAAC